rnacentral:rRNA from 1 species
GAUGAACGCUGGCGGCGUGCUUAACACAUGCAAGUCGAACGAUGAAGCCGGAGCUUGCUCUGGUGGCUUAGUAGCGAACGGGUGAGUAACACGUGAGUAACCUGCCCUUGACUCUGGGAUAAGCGCUGGAAACGGCGUUUAAUACCGGAUACGAGCUUGCACAGCAUGGUGAGUUGCUGGAAAGAAUUUCGGUCAAGGAUGGACUCGCGGCCUAUCAGCUUGUUGGUGAGGUAACGGCUCACCAAGGCGACGACGGGUAGCCGGCCUGAGAGGGGGACCGGCCACACUGGUACUGAGACACGGACCAGACUCCUACGGGAGGCAGCAGUGGGGAAUAUUGCACAAUGGGCGCAAGCCUGAUGCAGCAACGCCGCGUGCGGGACGAAGGCCUUCGGGUCGUAAACCUCUUUUAGCAGGGAAGAAGCGAAAGUGACGGUACCUGCAGAAAAAGCACCGGCUAACUACGUGCCAGCCGCCGCGGUAA